rnacentral:rRNA from 1 species
AGAAUCAACGCUGGCGGCGUGCCUAACACAUGCAAGUCGAACGAGAAAGUGGAGCAAUCCAUUAGUAAAGUGGCGCACGGGUGAGUAACACGUGACUAACCUACCUUUUAGUGGGGGAUAACCUAGGGAAACCUGGGCUAAUACCGCAUAAUACCUACGGGUCAAAGCAGCAAUGCGCUGAAAGAGGGGGUCGCGGUCGAUUAGUUAGUUGGCAGGGUAAUGGCCUACCAAGACUGUGAUCGAUAUCCGGCCUGAGAGGGCGCACGGACACACUGGAACUGAAACACGGUCCAGACUCCUACGGGAGGCAGCAGUGGGGAAUUUUGCGCAAUGGGGGAAACCCUGACGCAGCAACGCCGCGUGGAGGAUGAAGUCCCUUGGGACGUAAACUCCUUUCGAUCGGGACGAUAAUGACGGUACCGGAAGAAGAAGCCCCGGCUAACUUCGCGCCAGCAGCCGC